CAAGAUACUAGGAAAGCUAUGUAUUUAGUUGUAUUUAUUUAUAGUGAUGAGAGAGGAUUCAUGAGAAAACAUAGAACCAGUAUAGGAAAGAAACAGAAAAAGAUUGAACAAGAUGGGUCCUGCUGCGUCUAAGAGAGGAAUUGAUCAUAAACCCGGAACGGAGGAUUUCACUGAGAACAGGAGACAUGAAUCUCAAGCAUCAAGUACAAGAUCUGCAGCAUCAACAACAAAUAAAAUAGCUGGAAUUUUUGUUGCAACUUUGAACAAAUGGGGUUUUAGAUCCAAACAAAAGAAAUCUGAGGCCAAACAAGCAAAAUCUAUCUACCACAGAAAUAUAAAACAAGCAGAGCAGGGAAACAGAUCUUAGAGAAAGAGAGGCAGAAAAACACAAUAAUCUAAAGCUCAAAUCUGUAGAGGAAGAAGAGAAGAGAAGAGAAGGAGAAGAGAUUUUGGAGAUUGGGGAGGAGUUGAUUUAUAGAUGAG
rnacentral:lncRNA from 1 species